CCUUGCUUCCCUGCUGCUACUGCUGCUGCUGCUAAGUCACUUCAGUUGUGUCUGACUCUGUGCGACCCUGUAGACGGCAGUCCACCAGGCUCCCCUAUUCCUGGGAUUCUCCAGGCAAGAACACUGGAGUGGGUUGCCAUUUCCUUCUCCAAUGCAUGAAAGUGAAAAGUGAAAGUGAAGUCGCUCAGUCGAGUCCGACUCUUCGGACCCCAUGGACUGCAGCCUACCAGGUUCCUCCGUCCAUGGGAUUCUCCAGGCAAGAGUACUGGAGUGGGGUGCCAUUGCCUUCUCUGCUGCUUCCCUGACCUCUCCCCAAAUCUGCAAAUUGAAGUCCAAAUCCUAAGCCUUUUCCUGGAUGCCCCACAGUUGGUGUGUGUUCUUCUCCUUGAUGAAAUGAGUUCACAAACCCAAUUCUGUUUGACUGUAAGUGUCUGCUGGUAGUCUUCGGCUGGAGGGCACUGACAAUCAAGAAAAAACAUACAAGUAUACUUGCAAACUGCCCCACCCCCUGAAUCAUCUGCUUCAGCUGGUUACAUUGAUUCUUCAGUCCUUGGGCGAGCUGAGAAUUUUCCUGCAUCUCUCCUCUCCGGUAACCGCUUUGGACUUCCCUGGUGGCUCAGUGGUAAAGAAUCUACCUGCCAAUGCAGGAGACAUGGUUCCAGCCCCGGUCUGGAAAGAUCCUACAUGCCGAGGAGCAGCUGAGCCCGUGACCACAACUACCGACCCUGUGCUCUAGAGCCCGUGCUCUGACACGAGGGAAGCCACUGCAAUAAGAAGCCUGCUCAUCGCAACUAGAGAGCAGCCCGCACAGCAACAGAGACCCAGCACAGCCAAAAAUAAAUAAAUAAAUAAAAUGUCAGAAAAAGUAACAGCUUUAUCAAGAUUUAAUUCACAUACCAUACAACUCACCAAUUUAAACAAUUCAGUGGUUUUUAGUAUAUUCACAGAGUUGUACAACCAUCACCAUAAUCAAGUUUAGAAGAGUUUUGUCACCUCAGAAAGAAACCUCACACCUAUUGGCAGACAUUCUACAUUCCCCCACAGCUUUUACAGCCCUGCUGCUGCUGCGUCGCUUCAGUCGUGUCCGACUCUGCGACCCCAUAAACGGCAGCCAACCAGGCUUCCCGUCCCUGGGAUUCUCCAGGCAAGAACACUGGAGUGGGCUGCCAUUUCCUUCUCCAAGUCCUAGACAACUACUAAUCUCCUUUCUGUGUCUUUGGAUUUGUUUUGGAUGCUUCAUACAAGUGAAAUCAUAUAAUAUAUGGCCUUUUGUGACUAGCUUCUUUCACCUUAGGAUAAUGUUUUCAAGUAUAACCUUGUUUUAAAUUUUCCUGCUCUUAUAGGAGGGCUUCCUUGGUGGUUCAGUGGUAAAGAAUCUGCCUGCCAGUGCAGGAG
ensembl:lncRNA